rnacentral:rRNA from 1 species
AGAUUAAAUGGCUGCAGUAACCAUGACUGUAAAAAUGUAGCAUAAUAAUUCGCCACUUAAUUAGUGGAUAGUAUGAACGGUUUAACGAAAAUUCCACUGUCUUAUGAAAUAAAAAAAAAAUUUAAAUCAUAGUUAAGAGCUAUGUAAAACUGUAAGACGAAAAGACCCUAUAAAGCUUAACUAUAUUUCUUAAUAAAUUAAAAAAAAAAUAAAAACAAUUAUUAAUUAAGAUUUGGUAGUUUCAUUGGGGCGAUGGUCUCUAAAAAUAAACAGAGAUAAACCUAUAUAAUAAUAAAAAUUUACUGUAUAAUUAAUAAAUUUAACAGUUACAAAGUAGGGUAUAAUGACCCAUUAUUUUAAUAAAAAAAAAAUAAUGAUCAAUAGAUAAAAGCUACUUUAGGGAUAACAGGAUAAUAAUUUCUUAGAGACCCAAUCGAAGAAAAAGUUUAUCACCUCGAUGUUGAAUUAAGAUAACCUAAUGACGCAGC